UGGGGAAUUUUGGACAAUGGGCGAAAGCCUGAUCCAGCAAUGCCGCGUGUGUGAAGAAGGCCUUCGGGUUGUAAAGCACUUUUGUCCGGAAAGAAAUCCUUGGCUCUAAUACAGUCGGGGGAUGACGGUACCGGAAGAAUAAGCACCGGCUAACUACGUGCCAGCAGCCGCGGUAAUACGUAGGGUGCAAGCGUUAAUCGGAAUUACUGGGCGUAAAGCGUGCGCAGGCGGUUUGCUAAGACCGAUGUGAAAUCCCCGGGCUCAACCUGGGAACUGCAUUGGUGACUGGCAGGCUAGAGUAUGGCAGAGGGGGUAGAAUUCCACGUGUAGCAGUGAAAUGCGUAGAGAUGUGGAGGAAUACCGAUGGCGAAGGCAGCCCCCUGGGCCAAUACUGACGCUCAUGCACGAAAGCGUGGGGAGCAAACAGGAUUAGAUACCCUGGUAGUCCACGCCCUAAACGAUGUCAACUAGUUGUUGGGGAUUCAUUUCCUUAGUAACGUAGCUAACGCGUGAAGUUGACCGCCUGGGGAGUACGGUCGCAAGAUUAAAACUCAAAUGAAUUGACGGGGU
rnacentral:rRNA from 1 species